UAACCUAUUUUUCCCCCCUCUUAAACAGCCAAGUUUGAAGCACUCUGCAGAGUUCUGCCUAGGAGGAAAAGCAGAGCCAACCACUGAAAAAUGAUAUCUGUGCUCUCCGGUGGGGAAACUGAGGCACAGAGAUUCACCUAAUAGCCAAAUCACGUGAGGAGCUUAUAUCACAACGUCAGCCCCACAAGCUGAAACAGGCCUUCAGCAGCGUGGCAAGCUCAAAGAAAGCCUGGUGGGAAAAGCUCUGCAGCAGCUCCAGUCACAGCUGGCCGGGCACCUGACUUGAUG